CCCUAGCCCUGAUUGCAGUGAAAAUCCUUUUUAUUUAUUGUUCACAAAAACAAAAAAUAAAAAGAUUGUAACGGAAAGCAGGAAAUAGC
rnacentral:sRNA from 1 species